rnacentral:lncRNA from 1 species
ACCAACGCAGUUUUUCCCAUCUCUCUCGCCGUCUCCCUCUAGGGUUUUCCCCCAAUACAAUGGUGAAGUGCAGGAUCUGCCGCCAGUACUGGAGGCACCUUGUCAAGCACCACGGAUACGCAGAUCGAAGACGCCGUCAUGCGCUAGAGAGUCGCCGUUAUCAGGCAUCGUCUUCUUCUGCGUCAAUGGAUAGUUCAGCCGAACUUCAGUCACGGACCGGUCCCCAUAGACAAGCGCCUUCUUCUGCCACAAGAACGACUACCGAUUCCGAAUACCAGCAGGUACGGCUGACACUAGGUUUUAAAAUCGUUCAGUCUUAAUCUAACCAUGAAUCCACCACUUCGCCUGUGACCUGCCUCUCCAUCCUUUGAAAAACACUUUAGAUUUACACGAAUUUUCAGUUUUUUUCUGCCACAGUUACAUAUAACCUCUGUGAGUAUUUACCAAUAUUUUAAAUAGCGUGCUACAAAAAUAUAGCGAGGCCCUUCUCUAAAUGCUACACAAGUUAUAGCACGCUAAUAGCAUGCUAUAUUUCAAAAUAGCGUUUGCAAAAAAAAUCAAAUAUAUCUAGAAAUAAAGUAUUUAAGGAACUUGAUGUGGACAUAACUACCUCAGAUACGGCCAAAACUAUUGCACACAUUCAAAUUUUACAGGUGAAUUCUAGUAGUAAUUAUGAAAUAUAUUAUUUUGUUAUUAAAGACAAAAUUACUACAUCUCUAUUUAUUUUAUGCAGGAUUAACGGAGAUUUAUUCAAACCACGUGUCAAGAUACGGUUGCUUGUGCAUAUACAAAUACAUGUUUGUGUAGUAUUCACACAUCUGUACGAUACGGCUGAGCCAUGCAAUGGUGCAACGUGCAUGCAAAGAGGAGGAGGGCCAUGCCCAUAUGUGAUGCAUGCCACACGAGCAUGCAUGCAAUUCAGCCCACACACACAUGGGCCACGUGCAAUGCCGGCCACGUGAGCGCCCCAGCAUCCAAGCAACGCACGGCUGGUCCAUCGAACAACAAAUCAAGGCGGCGGCUCCCCAUCGUACUACUAUAAAUAAUUAGCCUCCGUUUAGGGUUAGACUCGGGUUUUAUUGUAUUGUCUAGCCAUCGCUACAAUUCGCAUCUACGAGACGUGUAGGACUACCGCCUUGUCAGAUUCACAGUGGAACCCCAACUUUUCAUCUAGUUCGUGUACUCAGAUUAUUAUCCGCAAUUUCAGUUGCAAUUCACCUUUGUUCUUGCUGGUUCUUCGGUUGCUUGCAGGAACUCGAACCUCGUUG